UGGUUUACCAAAAUCUUACCGUUCAGCGUCACGAUAAAUGUCUUCGUCGGUGGGUGGGAUUCAAAAUUAAUAACGUUUACGAAAACAGGUUCUGUGCAACUGUGGAUGAAGGUAAUGCUGUAAUGAAAUGCGUCUGGCGAGACUUUGGGCCUGCCAGUUGGAUAUAUGGAAGAUACUAUCUAUUGGGGUACGCCAAUAAUUAUUUUAGCAGAAACAAGUCUGGAAGAUGUCACCCUGGUGAUGUGUACUACUUUUCGCUUUGGACGGACGAUACGCUAGCCUGGAUUCGUGACAGUGAUCGUUGCGGUCCAAAUAACUUCGCAUGUGGGAAAGGAGACUGUAUCCCACUCACAAGACUGUGCAACAGGGUAGUGGAUUGUGUUGGGGGAAAUGACGAAAACGAAAUAUUCUGUGCUCAGCUAUACAAUUGUGAAGCAGGGCAAUUCCAGUGUGGUGAUAAAUGCAUUCCUAUGGAGAAAGUCAAGGACGGCGUAGUGGAUUGUGAAGGUGGCGAGGACGAGCUAUAU